rnacentral:sRNA from 1 species
GAGCUCUCGCCGUCCCUCUCUCGAGCCGUCUUCGCUCUCCCUGUCCCUCUCUCCAGCCCUCUUCACAGUCCCUGUCCGUCGUGCUCUACUUCUGUGUCCUCUCUCUCUGUCGAAGUGUCCGUCGUGUUCCGGCGUUCACCAAGCAAUCUCCUUGUUCGUCGGGUGUCGUAGUUGGAUGCUGAAGGAGUAUCUUCAUCUGCCGUGGUUGGAGUGUCAAUCUUUUCAAAAUAUUUGUCCCUUU